UGAAAAAAAUUUAAUUUUCAAGGUGUGGGAUUUUAUAGUGGAAACCUCCUUAGCAGGAUGCAGCAUGGCAGCCCGACAGUGAUGGGGACCUGGGAGGAGAGGGCAGAAGAUGUGGAUUUGAGGCCCUGACUCACUCCUUCCUGCUGUGUGACCUUGGGCACCUGAAACGUUGCAAAUGGGGAUAACUAUCUACUCUAAAAGAACUAAAUGGUUCCCUGGACUCCCUUCAAGUGUUAAUUUACCUAAGAGUUAUGUCUGACAAUUUGAAUAUAAAUCAUUCCUGC